rnacentral:rRNA from 1 species
UCCAGACUCCUACGGGAGGCAGCAGUGGGGAAUAUUGCACAGUGGGGGAAACCCUGAUGCAGCGACGCCGCGUGAGUGAAGAAGUAUUUCGGUAUGUAAAGCUCUAUCAGCAGGGAAGAAAUAGCGACCUUUGGGUCGCCAGACGGUACCUGAUUAAGAAGCCCCGGCUAACUACGUGCCAGCAGCCGCGGUAAUACGUAGGGGGCAAGCGUUAUCCGGAUUUACUGGGUGUAAAGGGAGCGUAGACGGCAUGGCAAGUCUGAAGUGAAAGCCCGGGGCUCAACCGCGGGACUGCUUUGGAAACUGUUAAGCUGGAGUGCAGGAGAGGUAAGUGGAAUUCCUAGUGUAGCGGUGAAAUGCGUAGAUAUAAGGAAGAACACCAGUGGCGAAGGCGGAUUACUGGACGAUAACUGACGGUGAGGCGCGAAAGCGUGGGGAGCAAACAGGAUUAGAUACCCCGGUA